rnacentral:tRNA from 1 species
CCCAACGUAGUCUAGCUUGGUAGGAUGCCUGGCUUGGGCCCAGGUGGACGCGAGGCAGAGCCUCGCGGCCGAAU